CUGAGGCGUGACGACGAGGCACUACGGUGCUGAAGCAACAAAUGCCCUGCUUCCAGGAAAAGCCUCUAAGCAUCAGGUAACAUCAAAUCGUACCCCAAACCGACACAGGUGGUCAGGUAGAGAAUACCAAGGCGCUUGAGAGAACUCGGGUGAAGGAACUAGGCAAAAUGGUGCCGUAACUUCGGGAGAAGGCACGCUGACACGUAGGUGAAGUGAUUUACUCAUGGAGCUGAAGUCAGUCGAAGAUACCAGCUGGCUGCAACUGUUUAUUAAAAACACAGCACUGUGCAAACACGAAAGUGGACGUAUACGGUGUGACGCCUGCCCGGUGCCGGAAGGUUAAUUGAUGGGGUCAGCGCAAGCGAAGCUCCUGAUCGAAGCCCCGGUAAACGGCGGCCGUAACUAUAACGGUCCUAAGGUAGCGAAAUUCCUUGUCGGGUAAGUUCCGACCUGCACGAAUGGCGUAAUGAUGGCCAGGCUGUCUCCACCCGAGACUCAGUGAAAUUGAACUCGCUGUGAAGAUGCAGUGUACCCGCGGCAAGACGGAAAGACCCCGUGAACCUUUACUAUAGCUUGACACUGAACAUUGAGCCUUGAUGUGUAGGAUAGGUGGGAGGCUUUGAAGUGUGGACGCCAGUCUGCAUGGAGCCGACCUUGAAAUACCACCCUUUAAUGUUUGAUGUUCUAACGUGGACCCGUAAUCCGGGUUGCGGACAGUGUCUGGUGGGUAGUUUGACUGGGGCGGUCUCCUCCUAAAGAGUAACGGAGGAGCACGAAGGUUGGCUAAUCCUGGUCGGACAUCAGGAGGUUAGUGCAAUGGCAUAAGCCAGCUUGACUGCGAGCGUGACGGCGCGAGCAGGUGCGAAAGCAGGUCAUAGUGAUCCGGUGGUUCUGAAUGGAAGGGCCAUCGCUCAACGGAUAAAAGGUACUCCGGGGAUAACAGGCUGAUACCGCCCAAGAGUUCAUAUCGACGGCGGUGUUUGGCACCUCGAUGUCGGCUCAUCACAUCCUGGGGCUGAAGUAGGUCCCAAGGGUAUGGCUGUUCGCCAUUUAAAGUGGUACGCGAGCUGGGUUUAGAACGUCGUGAGACAGUUCGGUCCCUAUCUGCCGUGGGCGCUGGAGAACUGAGGGGGGCUGCUCCUAGUACGAGAGGACCGGAGUGGACGCAUCACUGGUGUUCGGGUUGUCAUGCCAAUGGCACUGCCCGGUAGCUAAAUGCGGAAGAGAUAAGUGCUGAAAGCAUCUAAGCACGAAACUUGCCCCGAGAUGAGUUCUCCCUGAGACUUAGAGUCUCCUGAAGGAACGUUGAAGACGACGACGUUGAUAGGCCGGGUGUGUAAGCGCAGCGAUGCGUUGAGCUAACCGGUACUAAUGAACCGUGAGGCUUAACCUUACAACGCCGAAG
rnacentral:rRNA from 1 species